rnacentral:lncRNA from 1 species
ACAAAAUCUGUCCUGGGGUAAUCAACUGCAUAAAUGUAGCUAAACAUGUGCCAUCUGUGAAAGAGUUUGCCCAGCAAAAUCAGCAGCAUUUCUUAUACAACAUAUCCAAUUGCUUUGGAAUGAGGUUCUGUGCAGGAGGUGGAAGUGACCUUGGCUUGCUGGAGCCAGUUGGAACUGGUUGGAGGCAUUCAGAGACAGUUGGAGCCCUGUCUUCCCCUCUCCCAUGCACUGGUGACAGUCACCUCCUGGAGUGAGCUGCUGCUUGCUAGUGGCAUUGGCCAUCAUGACAGGCCCUGGAAAGAAGGAACAAUGGCCCUUUCUUUGAGGGGGUGGGGAGUCACCUGUUGCCUCCUCCACAAGGCCCCAAGAAGGCAGACAGUGGUGGAGAAGCUUGAGGAGAGAGACACCCCCAGAGACCCAAGCACGACCUUGAGCUGAGGGGGACAACACCCACCUCAGGCAGCCUGUUUCUCCCACUGGGGGCUGCAGGGCACGUACUGUAGCUGUGAACAGUGAGAUGGGAUGGAUGGGAGCAAUACUGGAGAGGAGGGACGGGUUUCUUGUUAGUGCCUUCUAGACUCUGAAAUGAAUGAUGCUUUCUGUAUUGGUUAGUUAAUUCAGGCUCUUACGCUGAUAAAACAUUAACUGGGCUAAAAAUAGAUUCAUAACUCACCUAUAUGCAGUGUUCCUUGUGUCCAGAACAAGGUUUAGAGUGUAGCAGUUGCUUCUGGAACUCUAUUGAGUGCUACAUUGCUUAGAACCAGCUUACAGCUGGUCCAAAGAAAUAGAAAUGCUGGAACACCUGUGAUGUGAAUGCCCUCAACAUUACCAGUUUUUCUUAACAUAGUAACUUGUGUUUGUUUGUAUUACCCGUUCCUGUAAAGAUUUGUGAGGCAGCAAUAUCUGAAGCACAGCAGCCUCCCAAAACUAGUAAAGUAUAUUUGCCUUGAUACCUUAUCUUGUCCCCUUAAUAUACAAUAGUAAAGUGUUUAACAGGAACAAAAUGCAAAUGAAUUUAUCCAGCUAGUGUCUACAAAUAACUGAGUUUACAUACUUACUGCUUACAUCAUGCUUACCUUUGUCCAAAAGCAACUAACAAUCUGUAUGACUAUUUUGAUGUGUUCUCUAGCAUCCAUGUGUAGAAAGGAUCUAACAAGUGUAAAGCAAUAUGUAAUUUGUGUCAACACAGAUGUCUAGAAGUGUCAACAUAAUCAUUCGUGUGAUUAUUUAUUGCAAUUGCUUUGUGACUGCUCAAAUAUAAUUGAGCCAGACAUAUUUCAGUAUUCUGCAGCUUUCUGCUCAGCAAAUAAACAGGUACAGCAC